CACACCCCAAGCUCUGCUUGAUGUUGGACGGUGCGGUUUGUCCGCACGUCUGGAACACGUUGGCGCCGGCCGCCGAACCGCAAGCGUAGCAAGACAAUAGUCAAGUCGCUUGGCUGGAGUCGACGGCGUGGCCGCCUAUUCUUUUCUUUAAGA
rnacentral:misc_RNA from 1 species